UACGUAGGUGGCAAGCGUUGUCCGGAUUUACUGGGCGUAAAGAGCGCGCAGGCGGUCGUUCAAGUCGCGUGUGAAAGCCCCCGGCUCAACUGGGGAGGGUCACGCGAUACUGAUCGACUCGAAGGCAGGAGAGGGUAGUGGAAUUCCCGGUGUAGUGGUGAAAUGCGUAGAUAUCGGGAGGAACACCAGUGGCGAAGGCGAACUACCUGGCCUGUUCUUGACGCUGAGGCGCGAAAGCUAGGGGAGCAAACGGG
rnacentral:rRNA from 1 species